UACAGAGGGUGCAAGCGUUGAUCGGAAUUACUGGGCGUAAAGCGUGCGUAGACGGUUAUGUAAGUCGGGUGUGAAAGCCCCGGGCUCAACCUGGGAAUUGCAUUCGAGACUGCAUAGCUAGGGUGCGGAAGAGGGAAGCGGAAUUUCCGGUGUAGCGGUGAAAUGCGUAGAUAUCGGAAGGAACACCAGUGGCGAAAGCGGCUUCCUGGUCCAGCACCGACGUUCAGGCACGAAAGCGUGGGGAGCAAACAGG
rnacentral:rRNA from 1 species